rnacentral:rRNA from 1 species
AGAGUUUGAUCAUGGCUCAGAAUCAACGCUGGCGGCGCGCUUAACACAUGCAAGUCGCACGAGAAAGCAGGAGCAAUCUUGUGAGUAAAGUGGCGUACGGGUGAGUAACACGUGGAUCAUCUACCUUCUAGUGGGGAAUACCCCCGGGAAACUGGGGACAAUACCGCAUAAGCUCGUGAGAGGAAAGCAGCAAUGCGCUGGAAGAGGAGUCCGCGGCUGAUUAGCUAGUUGGCGGGGUAAUGGCCCACCAAGGCAGAGAUCGGUAGCCGGCCUGAGAGGGCACACGGCCACACUGGCACUGAAACACGGGCCAGACUCCUACGGGAGGCAGCAGUGGGGAAUCUUGCACAAUGGGGGCAACCCUGAUGCAGCGACGCCGCGUGAGCGAUGAAGCCCUUCGGGGUGUAAAGCUCUUUCGUCAGGGAAGAUAAUGACGGUACCUGGAGAAGCAGCUGCGGCUAACUACGUGCCAGCAGCCGCGGUAAUACGUAGGCAGCGAGCGUUGUUCGGAGUUACUGGGCGUAAAGGGUGUGUAGGCGGUUCUUUAAGUUUGGUGUGAAAUCUCCCGGCUUAACCGGGAGGGUGCGCCGAAUACUGAGGGACUAGAGUGCGGGAGAGGAAAGUGGAAUUCCUGGUGUAGCGGUGAAAUGCGUAGAUAUCAGGAGGAACACCGGUGGUGUAGACGGCUUUCUGGACCGUAACUGACGCUGAGACACGAAAGCGUGGGUAGCAAACAGGAUUAGAUACCCUAGUAGUCC